rnacentral:rRNA from 1 species
UACGUAGGGUGCAAGCGUUAAUCGGAAUUACUGGGCGUAAAGCGUGCGCAGGCGGUUUUGUAAGUCUGACGUGAAAUCCCCAGGCUCAACCUGGGAAUUGCGUUGGAGACUGCAAGGCUGGAGUCUGGCAGAGGGGGGUAGAAUUCCACGUGUAGCAGUGAAAUGCGUAGAGAUGUGGAGGAACACCGAUGGCGAAGGCAGCCCCCUGGGUCAAGACUGACGCUCAUGCACGAAAGCGUGGGGAGCAAACAGG